ensembl:lncRNA
GUCUGCAUGUGGGCCUGAUGUGAUGGGAGUUCAUUUGAAGCCUCAGUCUGGAAGCUGGUGCAGGUUGCUUAGGUGCAGGCUGAGCUCCUGAGGAGCUGUGGGGAUGUAUGCAAAGAUGGUUUUCAGCCUAAAGAAUUAGAGCAAUUUGUGAUGUGACUACUGAGUAGCAUUCCAGGGACAACGUGUCUCCUUCAACACUAAUUAAAGGUAAUUCAAAUGUGUGGCUUCUAACUACUUGCAGAGGACAGCUUAGUAUUGCUAACACCAUGUGGUGUUCGAAGCUGAGAGGUUCCUUGAGUCCCAGGACAGCAUGAACCAGCAUCCCUUCACAGUGCCUCUGAUGAGACGUGAAGUGCUGGUGGAUAAUUCUGCAUGGCUGAUGAAAAUGUGUGGCCAAAGUAUCUCAGGCUUAUAUGGAGAGGUGACUAAGGAGGAAUGGCCAGCCAACCUCAAACCUCAGAUAGCUGCAAAAAACCACCAGCCCUGGAGCGUAUUAUCCUCCCAACAGACACUGUGUUUCUGCUGUAGGAGUACAGUGAACACACGGGUGCUGCAACCUGGAAAUCCAUCAGCAGUGAGGCUGUCUGAUUUGCCCCAGAGUUACCCAAACUGGAAAUCUCAUCAGCAGGAAGAGGGACUGCAGUCACCGUGGGGACUUGUGGCAAGGUGUUGGUGUGUCUGAGAAGGUGACUUACUGGAAACACUGAACAGACAGAAGUAGAAACUAGUCAUGUCAGAGACCACUCGGCAGCUGGAUGGGAUUCCUUGCGUGAUUCAUCCACAAAAAUGACUGCUUUGCCUGACGUCGUAUUUCCCCCCCUUUAUUUAGAAUGCAGCUUUGGCUGCCGUGGCUGUGGUCCAUUGUCUGGAUUGCUUUUUGAUGGCUGGGUGGUACGGAUAGCAUCCUUGUAUUCUCAUGAUUUCUAAACCACUGCUCGGACCAGGGGGGAAAAAGACAACCAAAUGAAGGGCUUCGUCACUCCAGAAGCCCUCAGUGGAAUGAACCUGUAAUCUUAGGAAAUCAAAGGGGAAUCUGGGGAAUGUGUCAUUUUUAGUGUCUUUAAGGCAGCAAAAUUACAAGUGAGAAUAGCUGCCUGUAAAUUGUGUUUAUGGAGUUAAUUGACAGGAAUAGUAGAGAAGGGAAAGUCUGGAUGAAAGCCUCUGGGUCUGAACUGCUCUGUUUCAGGAGGAGGUCUAAAGGAAGGACCGUCACCUGAUGCAACCAAAAUGUACCGGGAUGCAUGGAUCAGUUACUGUGCCUCAGCAGAGGAAUUCAUAGUGAUGCUGCCCUGUGGCAAUGCUGUGACCACCCAUUCUUGUGAAACUCACUCAAAUGUUUGCAGGAUUACUGAGCUGCACAAACCAGCAGUGGAAAAAGAUCUCUGUGGUCUCUCUCAGCACACUGAUGGAGUGGGACCGUUCCCAGCCGUGCAGAGCUCUGUGCAGACCCAUCUGAUGUGAUUCAUGCCUUUGGAUGUCUCACAGCUUCCUUUGGGAACUCGAAUUGACCUUCCAUAACUAAGGAGGCCUUAAUGUACUGCUCAUUUC